GCGCUCGUAGUUCAGCUGGCUAGAACGCUCCCCUGUCACGGGAGAGGUCGUGGGUUCGAGUCCCAUCGAGCGCG
rnacentral:tRNA from 1 species